CUAUUAAUCUUUGUGUCUAUGACUAAGUCGUGGCUUUUUACGUUAGUGACCUGAUUUUGCACUAGCAUGCUCCUCCCAGCUUGGUGAAGCCCCUCAUGUGAUCCAUUCUUCCUCCUAAAUAAAGUUGAACAUUUUGGCUGGGAUCAGUGAGUGCUGCUGAGGUGGCUGGCGUGUGCAGCUAUUCCAGCCUCGCAGGGUCUGCAGCACGACCAACCCGCAUAUCCAGCACUAGCUGCCUCUCCGUUUUAAAGAGCACGGCGGAGGAGAAUGGUUAGUUAACACCGUGGCAGACUUCAUGCUCGGGGCUGUUUUGCCAGCCCCACAGCCCCUGACAACCCUCCCUCUCCAAAGUAGCCCCUGGGGCUGAGAAAGAUGUGGCCGGGCAAGGUAAUUUUUCCAGACCCCGGCUUUGCAAUCAGUGAUGACAUCUCUGAAUUUCCAGUUUAAAAAGGACAAAAAAUAAAAUCUCUUCCAGACAAGGUGAAUGUGAGAACAAAUAUUAAAGAAGAGGAAAAAAAAUCCGUUCAUUAGAAUGAAAGAUUUUUUUCUGUAACUGAUUUUGUUAGAAACUAUGAUGUUAGAAAAACCAAGUCUGCCUCUCAGCAAAAAAUCUGCCUUUGAUUUUAUUCUCUUCGGGGAAUACUUCAGGGGAAAGAAAACACUCACUGUGAAGCAAAUUCAUAAGAUGUAAACUAUGCUCAUUGUGGCGCUUAUUUUUCCUUUAAGCCUGAGGAGGAGCCCUGCCACCAGAAUGUUACAGGAAAAUUGAUUUGAUUUUCUCUAAUUAUCCAUUCAAGAAAACAAAGAUUCAAAAACUGGCAGUGAGAUCAGCAGCUUCUUCUUCUGACAGAGAAGGUGACAGUGAGCACCAGUUUCUGACUUAUACACCGUGUGGAUAUAGAUGACGUGCAUUGUUAACUUUCUGACACAUCCUCUUCCUUAUAAACUGCAUGGCUUCAUAAACAAACAAUACUUCUGAGCCCCAUCUAUGCCUUGAGAAGCCGAGAAAAAAAAUUCUUAUGGACAACAUCGGCUACAUGGGAAUCCUUGUUCAUGUUUCUUCAGAAAUUUUGAGUGAGUGAGAGCAACUACUGAAUCCCAAUGAGGCCCAAGUUCAAUGAAACUCCUGUACCUGCACUUUUGGCUUUGACGGAAUAUGAAAACUUUGCUAAGCUGAAUGCAACAGGAGACACUGAAACUAAACAGCUAGAAGGGUCCCUCUCAUCCACGGUUGCACUAAUAAUAGUGCUGAUCAUCAUUUUCUCUUUGAUAAUGACAUCCUUAGUGACCUACUGUUUCCACAAGUGGCAACUGAGGGGUAAAAAACUGCAGAAAGCGCAGGAGGAAUAUCAGCGAGACCAUGAAAAGAGCAUGUUCCAAAGCAUGUCAGGACUUGUUUCAUAAAAGAAAUCAAUCCAACAUGAAAUAUUCCUGCAUUACCUGAACGUGAAAAAUAACUAACUAUUGGAAGCUACAUAUUGAAAUGUCCACCUAAAUAUAUCCCGGUUUUACCUAAUUUGUAAGAAUUUUUAAUAGUUUGGAAAUUUCCAACGGCUUCCUUAUAAGUCAAAAAUAUUCAGUUGUCUCGUUUGUGCAAAGUAAAAUAAAUGCAACCAUAUAUUUUAAUCUGCAUUUUAUUUACAAAAAAAACAGUAGGUCAAACCCUGCUGUCCUUACUCUAUCAAAAUUCCCAUGGAAGUCAAAGGGCCAGAGUCUCAGCUCGUUCCAAUCAGCAUAGCUGAUAGGAGUUGAUCAUUAGCAGAUGAUCUGGCUCGAAAUUUGAUAAACUAAUGAAAGCUUUAGCUGAGUAAGGUCCACAGGAUUUUCCCAAUUACCACCCAACCCUGAAAGCCUUCUGGGGCAGAACUCCCAAAGACUUCAAGAAGAGUUCCAUGCACAGAUUGAGCUCUAAAUUUGCUAGCAGACUGUAUGUUGAUAAUAAUUCCAUUUAUUUUGUUUAGGGUCCAUGGGAAUUGAGGGCAUUCAACACCUCACAUGAUGGUCCCAGACUUAUUAAGGAGCAUGCAAGCUGAACACACUUUUUUAAAGCUUGCCAUUAUUUUUAACCCGGCUUACAAUGGCGUGUUUCUAUUUUUGUAGCCUGUAAUGUUAUGUCAUGCAAAAGAUGCCGACUCUAUUGUGGGUAACAUAUGUAAGUAAUAUUUUCUAACAAAGUGUUGGAUGUAACAUCAGUAUAAGUAGCUGUUUUAAAAUGUAGAAAAUAUGUAAAAAAUGCAAACGAAAACCCUGCUCAAGUAUAUAGCUUGCUUGCAAUUACCAUUAGCUGGUGCUGUAUGUAUCUUUAAACAAGCUAUAAUACUGUGAUAAUGCUGUACACUUGCUUCUGUAGGCAAAAAAGUUCAAUUUAAAAACUGGCAAGAAGAUUAAAGAUGUAAAUGUUCUUAACACUGCUAACAACAAAAAUAUGGAUUUUCACAGGAUAUUCUAAAGGCAGACUCUGUUACAUGCUAUGGAUCUAUUUUACAGUGUAUUUAUGGAUCAUACACACUAUUCAUUGUGAGACCAAACAGUACUAUUUUAUUAAUAAAUAAAUAAAUAAAUAAAUAAGCAAGCAAGCAGUGAAUGCCCAUGUCCAGAAGGUGGAUAAUGCUUUCAUAGGGCCCCCUGAUCUAUUUUAUUAACAACUUGAAAGGCAUGUUCUGAAAAGAACAAGGUACCCACUACCUUAUUUGGGGAAAGGGCAAAGUGGCAUUCCCCCCACCACCCCUCAUAACUCAUCAAUCCCAUUUUCAUGUCUGUGUAGGUAAAGACCUAUAGUAUAUCCACUACGUGAGAGAAAGGGACAGUACACUGGGGAAGACAAAAAUGCAACCCUAAUCCACACAUUAUUGAUAUAUACAUUUGUGAAAAUAAAAAACUGAAACAUUUUAAAUUUUUAACAAAGUGCCACUUACUAUAACAUCUAUACUGUAUGCAGCAGCAAUUUGCACAUGUUUGUGUGUCCAGCUACAUUUUUAUUCAGUGGAGACAAUAAAAGGUAAUUUCUUUGUCAUACCAGA